AUGCUACCUUUGUUGAUUGCAAUUCCCUACUUUCAAGAGAGACAGUCCUCGCUACAUAUUUAAGAGGCUUUGCUGGAGCUUUCAAUUUCUACAAGCAGGAAGCAAACAAACAUAUGGUAACUUUAUUAUUUAGGGUUGGCACAAAUUUGGCUUGAGAUGCCUGGGGCUUAUUUGUCUGCAUUCCCCAAUCUUGAAAAACAACAGGUGUGGCUUGCAAGCCAUGCAAAAUCCAGCCAACUCCUGAAUUCAAGGAAUCUUCAUGGUGAGAAAUAAGAGAAGUUGGCUUUGUAGUGAGACACAUUAGCUCCCUGAAGAUCUUAAGAGGCCAACUUCCUUGCUUUCUUGGAAAUUUCCUUGCUUGGAAAUCUCAUAUUUCCAAGGUUAAAGUCACUGAAGCACCAUUUGUGUCCAUGGCCGAGUGGUGGGUUGCUCCCGGUUUGAUCCGGUUUUUGUGAAGCGGUAGUAAUGGCGUCGGGAGGCUUCGCCCACCCGCCCAAUGUCAUCACUGACGAUCUGUGCAUGAGCAGAAGUGCAACCGCACUCCAGUUGAGAACCGGUAGUAAAGCAAGGCCACAACAUCAUUCGGGGACUGCAUUCCAUCUGUUUCAGAUGAAGCCGAGAAGGGAACUGAAUGUCCCAGUUCCCCGGAAUAAGAGCCUCUAUAUAGCCUUAAUGUCAUGGCUCUGUUGGAGGACAACCAGUUUAGCUGCUUCACUGUGAAAGUAGCUACACUGCUUACAUUAUAUGAGAUCCAGUGAUGGGUUUCCCCCGGUUCGGACCGGUUCGCAAGAACCAGUAGUAAAACCGGCGGGAGGCCCCACCCACCACCCCGAAUGUCAUCACCGGCGAUCUGCGCAUGCACAGAAGCAAGGCGCACACGCAAGCGAAGCAAGGACAUGCGAUCCCAUUGCGAACCGGUAGUAAAGCAAGGUCCCACCAGCCAUGGACUCGCAUUCUAGAAGCGUUACUUGUGGAAGUCAUGCUCGUAGACAACUGCAGCUUCCUGUGGAUGGCAUUCAUGGAGAAAAAAAGAUGAAGAUGUUCCAGAGAUACCAUCUUCAGCAAUUUUUCCAGGCAUUCCAGAGAAGUGCACAUCAUUUCUGUGUUUCCUUGCAGGUGGAGAAGAAGUUGUUGGAGCAGACCUCAGAGGCCGCCUUUGGCAGUCUCCCACUUCAAAGCACCUCAUUUUUAUUUUGAAGGGCGUAGAAGUCCUGGGAGGAGCCUUAAGAGCUCUGAGUCACACGGCUGGAGAUGUUCCUCCUCAGUCUCAAACCAGUUUCUCUACUGUGGAAAUCAUCAGCCUAGGAUCAAUAUAAGUAGCAAACCUAAAAUACUAUGGAUUUUAAGCUUUGGGUGCCCCGUCCCCCUGCUCUUGGGACCAUGCCUGAUAUAACCUCUCUCUUGGGACAAAAGGGCAGCUUAUUAGAGUCCAUCAAGCAUUUCCCGAAGUUCCCAAGGAGGUCUGGGAUGCUGGAAAAACAUAUGGUUUCAUUAAUGAAGAUGACCUAGAAGUAGAGGAGCUGUGAUCUUCCCAUCCACCCACCCACCCAAUAUUGAACAAGUUAAGGUGGGGCACGGGUGGGUUCUACUUACCUUUACUACCGGUUCGCAACGGGACACAGAAGCGUUUUGAUGACGUCAGGGUCAGCAGGCGGAGCCUCCUGCCGGUUUUACUACCGGUUCUAUAGAGAGCUGGAUCAUCAGUUUGCCUGUCCAUUCAAGAUAUGUAAGAAAACAUAGAAAAAAUACCACAUACUGCUUGUUGUGUGCCUCUGGAGAAACAGGUCAACUGCAUCUGGUUGAAAGGCCCUGUGAUCCAACAUUCUAUACCUUCAGUGGUCCACCAAAUUGAUGUUCUUUGAAAAUGCAAACCCAGAAUAUGGGGGAAACAGGUUCCUCGAUUCCCAGUUCACUUUCUUCAGAAAAAAAGGUCUGUGAAUUAUUGUGUUUUUGUUCUUCUUUCCGUCUAUGUUUGACAUAAACGUAGAAGGAACCUGACCAAAGCUAUUUUUUAUUUUGGAGAAACAAAUUACUGCCUGAUAUUCUUUGUUUCACAAGUUCUUUUAACUUGACUGGGUGCCAUCUAUGUUCCCUCUAAGGUGUGUGUGUGUGUGUGUGUGUGUGUGCACGCACACAUACAUAUGUGUGUAACUUGUGUGUGCAUCCACACUACUCAUGAAACUGACACAUACGGUAAGAUAUUGCCCGCUAAAAAUUAAAGUUCAAUAAUAAUAAUUCCUCUCUGUCACAGGGAAAGGCCCUUAGUUUGUUCCAUCUACAACUUUCAACUAUGACAACUAAUGGCUGUAUUGUUCUGUUGUACACUUCUGACUUUAUAAUAAACCCUGCCAUUUGUGUUUUUAGAUCAUUGGACCAUCCUCAGUCACUUCAAGAAUGGACCUCUCUGCUAUUCAACUUCUUCUUUUUCAAAGAUGGCACUGAGACAAGAUGUGUUGUGGAACAGAUUCCAACAGUAGCCACUUUUAGUACGUUGCAGUAGGUAGGUGGUCUAGAUCAGGGGUCUCCUCCAGCCUUAAAGUUGCCAAGGUUGGAGACCCCUGGUCUAGAGAGAUGGACUAAGACAGUGAUGAUUAACCUUUUCGGCACUGAGUGCCAAAACUGGAGCGGGUGUGCGCCCCGGAGUGCUGAAACCUGGAAGAGAGCAGUUGGCCGAUGUGCAUGCAUGCGGCGGCCAGCUGCAUUUCCAGGUUCUGUCGUGCACGUGUGCGCCAGCCAGCUGGUCUUUGUGCGAAAAUCAGCUGGCUGGUGCACAUGCACGUGCUGGAACCCAGAAGACAGCAGCUGGCCGCUGUGCACAUGUGUGCUGGGCCAGCUGUCCGGCGCUCGUGUGCGACGUAACCCAGAAGAGCAACUGGCAGCGGCACGCAUGCCCACAGAGAGGGCUCUGUAUGCCAACUCUGGCAUGUGUGCCAUAGGUUCGCCAUCACAGGACUAAGAAUUGGUAGAGUUUCUGCAAAUGUGGGGUUUUGCUCUACUGAACCUGGUUGCUGCUGCUUUUUGCCAUACAAUUUGUCUCUCUUGUUAGGCCGCGUACCAGCUUCGGAUAGAAUCGCAUGUGGUGUCUGGAACUCACCUUGGCUGGACCAUCGCCUUUCCAGGAACUGACAGUUGGCUGAUUGGAUUAUUGGAUGCACCAGGCGUACGGAGCAGUUUUGGCAUGUGGAUAAGUUGUUACGCACUGUCUGGUGUACUUGGAAAGGCUGACAGAGUGUCUGGAGGCUGUAGGGUGAGGCACACACCCUCUGGAACAUCCUCCCUCCUGAGAUUAGAAUUGUCCUGAUCCUAUUGGCCUUCCAGAAGACCUUCAAGUCCUGGUUUUGUGUCUUCAGUCCCAAGUGUGUGAAGGCCCCAUUGAUGUUAACAACUAUCAAUUAAAUUAUCUUCUGGUUGCUCUAUGUAUUUUGUGUGUGUGUGUGUUCUGUUUUUAAGUUGUUCAAACGAUUUUAUGAUUGUUUCCUGCUCAGAAUCAUUUAUUUCAGAUGGAUGGCUAUACAAACUGAAUAAUUAAAUAAACUUUGGAUGCUA